AGUGAACGCUGGCGGUAGGCCUAACACAUGCAAGUCGAACGGCAGCACAGUAAGAGCUUGCUCUUACGGGUGGCGAGUGGCGGACGGGUGAGGAAUACAUCGGAAUCUACUUUUUCUUGGGGGAUAACGUAGGGAAACUUACGCUAAUACCGCAUACGACCUACGGGUGAAAGCAGGGGAUCUUCGGACCUUGCGCGUUUGAAUGAGCCGAUGUCGGAUUAGCUAGUUGGCGGGGUAAAGGCCCACCAAGGCGACGAUCCGUAGCUGGUCUGAGAGGAUGAUCAGCCACACUGGAACUGAGACACGGUCCAGACUCCUACGGGAGGCAGCAGUGGGGAAUAUUGGACAAUGGGCGCAAGCCUGAUCCAGCCAUACCGCGUGAGUGAAGAAGGCCUUCGGGUUGUAAAGCCCUUUUGUUGGGAAAGAAAAGCAGCAGGUUAAUACCCCGCUGUUCUGACGGUACCCAAAGAAUAAGCACCGGCUAACUUCGUG
rnacentral:rRNA from 1 species